AACUAUUGGAGUGCAGCUGAGGAGUGUCUUUGCACUGUGCUGCACUCUGUGCAGUAAGCUGCACAAAUAAAGCAACAUUCCCUUCUAACCCUUAUUUAUCACAGACCUGUGAGUCUCCUUCGCCUCGAGAGGAGAGAAAACCGAAGAAUUAAAACUCUAACAGCUACGAGAGGUGCACUCAUUCUUGCCCAUCAUUUGAAGUUGCAGAAGUAUUGCUUCCACUUCUCUCGACUUUGGAAAGGUUAGCAGGCAAAUAAAUGGAGCCCAUAGCGGUGCUGAGAGAUGACAGAGGGCGGAGGAACACCACAGAGGCUGCUGAUGCUCAGAGUUUGCAUCACAAACUGGAGAGGUGCAGAGUUGACCCCGACCACUUGCUUGGGAUUGUGGGUAUUGUAGGCACCGUUCUCAACCUGCUGGUGGUGGUGCUGGUGUACAUCUACACCCCUAUUUAAAUAUUGCAAUGAGGGGUUUUGAUACAGUAAAUAUAUUGCUGGCUUGUGGUGCACUCCCUUAAAGUCAACAAUAAUUUGUUUUGUAACUGACCUUUAAAGACAUGUUAUAGUGACUGGUCUUUUUGAUAUACUGAAUCAGCAGUUUGUAACACAUGUACCUCUAAUUUUGAUAACUCUGCAUCAAUUCAAAAGUGCUGGUUAUGACAUUAUGCAGCAGGGAUGUCUAGUAAUGUAUGGUAUAUGCUUUGUAACCGCAUUGUUUGAUAAAACAUUUUUAAUCUAUGUUUUUGUACGUUUCUGGCACAUUCACUGUACUUUUGAACAAUGAUGUUGCAUUUUAUGUGGUAAAUAAAAUUCACAUUUUGUCUGUU